rnacentral:rRNA from 1 species
GACCCCAUGGAGCUUUAAACCCAAUUAUAUCUCUAACCACUAUAACCAUUUAACCACUUAGAACUUAUAUACUUGGUUUUAGGUUGGGGCGACCACGGAGCACAACCAAACCUCCACGAUGAACGGAACAACCCCCUUAUCUGAGAAUUACACUUCUAAGAAUUAGCACACUAACAUAAAAUGACCCAUUAUUGAUCAACGAACCAAGUUACCCUGGGGAUAACAGCGCAAUCCAUUUUAAGAGCCCCUAUCGACAAAU